rnacentral:rRNA from 1 species
UUUGAUCAUGGCUCAGGAUGAACGCUGGCGGCGUGCCUAAUACAUGCAAGUCGAGCGAACAGAUAAGGAGCUUGCUCCUUUGACGUUAGCGGCGGACGGGUGAGUAACACGUGGGUAACCUACCUAUAAGACUGGGAUAACUUCGGGAAACCGGAGCUAAUACCGGAUAACAUUUGGAACCGCAUGGUUCUAAAGUGAAAGAUGGUUUUGCUAUCACUUAUAGAUGGACCCGCGCCGUAUUAGCUAGUUGGUAAGGUAACGGCUUACCAAGGCGACGAUACGUAGCCGACCUGAGAGGGUGAUCGGCCACACUGGAACUGAGACACGGUCCAGACUCCUACGGGAGGCAGCAGUAGGGAAUCUUCCGCAAUGGGCGAAAGCCUGACGGAGCAACGCCGCGUGAGUGAUGAAGGGUUUCGGCUCGUAAAACUCUGUUAUUAGGGAAGAACAAACGUGUAAGUAACUGUGCACGUCUGACGGUACCUAAUCAGAAAGCC